AUUGAACGCUGGCGGCAUGCUUUACACAUGCAAGUCGAACGGUAACAGGCCGCAAGGUGCUGACGAGUGGCGAACGGGUGAGUAAUGCAUCGGAACGUGCCCAGUCGUGGGGGAUAACGCAGCGAAAGCUGCGCUAAUACCGCAUACGAUCUAUGGAUGAAAGCGGGGGACCGUAAGGCCUCGCGCGAUUGGAGCGGCCGAUGUCAGAUUAGGUAGUUGGUGGGGUAAAGGCUCACCAAGCCAACGAUCUGUAGCUGGUCUGAGAGGACGACCGGCAGCACGGGGACUGAGACACGGCCCAGACUCCGACGGGAGGCAGCAGUGGGGAAUUUUGGACAAUAGGCGCAAGCCUGAUACAGCAAUGCCGCGUGCAGGAAGAAGGCCUUCGGGUUGUAAACUGCUUUUGUACGGAACGAAACGGUCCUGGUUAAUACCUGGGGCUAAUGACGGUACCGUAAGAAUAAGCACCGGCUAACUACUUGCCAGCAGCCGCAGUAACAC
rnacentral:rRNA from 1 species